rnacentral:SRP_RNA from 1 species
AGCCGGGGCAGCAGCGGCGCCCUGCACCUGAAAUCCGCUACAGCAGGGGCUAUGCCGGACCCGAGGGCUUUAAUCGUAAAGCUGCCUUACGUAAGCGGCGCUGAAGUCCGGGUCUUACGCAACGAGAAUCCGUGAACCGUGUCAGGGCAGGAAUGCAGCAGCACUAAGCGGAACCUUUCGUGUGACGUAAGGGAGCCUGGGCCGAGCUGGCUGCGUAAGUAACGUUUGCGACGUCCGUUCGAAGGUUCGGCGCG